GCGCCCGGUAAAGCAUGUUUUCGCAGAUAGCGGAACUUACACACCAGCGGUCAGGGGUUCGAAUCCCUUUGCGCGCACCA
rnacentral:tRNA from 1 species